rnacentral:rRNA from 1 species
UACGAGGGGGGCGAGCGUUGUUCGGAAUUAUUGGGCGUAAAGGGUGCGUAGGCGGUUUGGUAAGUCUGAUGUGAAAUCUAUGGGCUCAACUCAUAGUCUGCAUCGGAAACUGCCGGGCUUGAGUGUGGGAGAGGUGAGUGGAAUUCCUGGUGUAGUGGUGAAAUGCGUAGAGAUCCGGAGGAACACCAGUGGCGAAAGCGGCCACCUGGACUGCACCUGACGCUGAAACGCGAAAGCUAGGGGAGCGAACGGG